CCUACGGGUGGCAGCAGUGGGGAAUAUUGCACAAUGGGGGAAACCCUGAUGCAGCGACGCCGCGUGAGUGAAGAAGUAUUUCGGUAUGUAAAGCUCUGUCAGCAGGGAAGAAAAUGACGGUACCUGACCAAGAAGCCCCGGAUAACUACGUGCCAGAAGCCGCGGUAAUACGUAGGGGGCAAGCGUUAUCCGGAUUUACCGGGUGUAAAGGGAGCGUAGACGGCAGGGCAAGUCCGGAGUGAAAGGCGGGGGCUCAACCCCCGGAUUGCUCUGGAAACUGGCAGGCUGGAGUGCAGGAGAGGUAAGUGGAAUUCCUGGUGUAGCGGUGAAAUGCGUAGAUAUUAGGAGGAACACCAGUGGCGAAGGCGGCUUACUGGACUGUAACUGACGUUGAGGCUCGAAAGCGUGGGGAGCAAACAGGAUUAGAUACCCCAGUAGUC
rnacentral:rRNA from 1 species